AUGGGAGGAAGACACAGAAGCUAUGCUGAAGUGGGGAAAAGCCCCUGCAUGGGGCUACCAUGCACUGGGACUGGCUCUUGGCCUCCAGUGACUCCAGGGAAACAGGUCACUUGGAUGUUAUUGGAUGUUGGACACUGUGAAGAAGAAAUAGAAUGGAGGCCUAGACACUUCCAGGAUGCAAGUUUCAACAUUCAUGUUUCAACAAAAGCAAUGACAUCUGUAGGCAAGAUCGGACGUGCAUAAAGAUGUCCACUGUGUGUGUGCAGAACAGGAGAGGCAGUCGGAGUUCCAGCCUCUCUUUCCAGACAGUGAUGCAUGGGACGGAGCAUGUGGCUGAGGUGUGACUGUAUCUGUGUCCACUUGGGGAG
rnacentral:lncRNA from 13 species